GAGACCUCAGGUCAGGCGGGCUACCCCGUGAGUUUAAGCAUAUCAAUAAGCGGAGGAAAAGAAACUAACAAGGAUUCCCUUAGUAACGGCGAGCGAACCGGGAACAGCCACAUGAGAUC
rnacentral:rRNA from 1 species